rnacentral:misc_RNA from 1 species
GAUGAAGAACGCAGCGAAAUGCGAUAAGUAAUGUGAAUUGCAGAAUUCAGUGAAUCAUCGAAUCUUUGAACGCACAUUGCGCCCGCUGGUAUUCCGGCGGGCAUGCCUGUUCGAGCGUCAUUUCAACCCUCAAGCUCUCCGGAGUUUGGUGUUGGGGCGCCUGGGGCUUUUCGACCUCAGGGCCCUCAAGUCCAUCGGCGGGACCGCCAGGACACUGAGCGCAGUAGUAUUAUUUCGCUCGGUAGGAUCUUCCACGGCGGGUCGAUCUGGCCGCUAAACCCCCCAAUUCUCACCAAAGGUUGACCUCGGAUCAGGUAGGAAUACCCGCUGAACUUAAGCAUAUCAAUAAGCCGAGGA